rnacentral:rRNA from 1 species
UACGAGGGGAGAUAGCGUUGUUCGGAAUUACUGGGCGUAAAGGGCGUGUAGGCGGUACUAUAAGUCAGAUGUGAAAGCCCUAGGCUUAACCUAGGAGGUGCAUUUGAUACUGUAGAACUAGAGAUCGAGAGAGGAAAGUGGAAUUACGAGUGUAGAGGUGAAAUUCGUAGAUAUUCGUAAGAACACCAGUGGCGAAGGCGACUUUCUGGCUCGAUACUGACGCUAAGGCGCGAAAGCGUGGGGAGCAAACAGG